AUGGCUCAGGAUGAACGCUAGCGACAGGCUUAACACAUGCAAGUCGAGGGGCAGCACGGGAGUAGCAAUACAACUGGUGGCGACCGGCGCACGGGUGAGUAACGCGUAUGCAACCUACCUAUCAGAGGGGAAUAACCCGGCGAAAGUCGGACUAAUACCGCAUAAAACAGGGGCACCGCAUGGUGAUAUUUGUUAAAGAAAUUCGCUGAUAGAUGGGCAUGCGUUCCAUUAGGUAGUUGGUGAGGUAACGGCUCACCAAGCCGACGAUGGAUAGGGGAACUGAGAGGUUGGUCCCCCACACUGGUACUGAGACACGGACCAGACUCCUACGGGAGGCAGCAGUGAGGAAUAUUGGUCAAUGGGCGAGAGCCUGAACCAGCCAAGUCGCGUGAAGGAAGAAGGAUCUAUGGUUCGUAAACUUCUUUUGCAGGGGAAUAAAGUGCGGGACGUGUCCUGUUUUGUAUGUACCCUGAGAAUAAGGAUCGGCUAACUCCGUGCCAGCAGCAGC
rnacentral:rRNA from 1 species